ACACAUGAGCAGGGGUCCAUCCCUAUCCCCCACCGGAUCCAGUCGCACCCCCACUCAGCCGUCUUUUGCCCGAAUCCGAGUACUCUUUGGACCUGCGGCGGCUGCUUGAAUCCCCGGCGUAGCAGUGAUGGAAGAUGCCGGCCUUGAAUUCUUGCAGGAUACCGUCGACCGAUUUCUCGUCCAGGAGGAGUUUGUCGACAGCCUUGAACACCCAGAUCCAGUACCUCUUGCAUUGUUAACGCCUGACGAAGUGAAUCCAGCCGGCUAGGAAGCCCGGAAUGUUGCAUCUGGAUGCGGCAGCAAGUUGACGGUGGUGGCGCUGGUAGGCCGAGCUGCGGCGACCGACGGUAGCGGGAGAUAUCACCCACUGCGUCCGCGCAAUCUAUUGACAGGGCCCAAAAGGUACUACUUGGUAAGCUCAGAAAUUACAAGUCUCCAGGAGAAGCGCUCGGAUUUAGGUGUUAAGCCAAAGAACCACAAGGUCAGGCCAGGUUGACCGAGUUAGGUUGAAUAUUCAGUAUGUGCACA